rnacentral:snoRNA from 1 species
AUAGACUACAACGGUAUCUGAGC